CUGAGAAUUCCAAUUAGGGCUUCAAUUUUGCCAGAAGAGGAACGAUGGUCUGCGAGAAGUGUGAGAAGAAGUUAUCGAAGGUGAUUGUACCAGAUAAGUGGAAAGAAGGAGCCAGCAAUACCACCGAAGGUGGUGGUCGUAAGAUCAACGAGAACAAACUCCUCUCUAAGAAGAAAAGAUGGACUCCUUAUGGAAAUACCAAGUGCAUGAUUUGCAAGCAGCAGGUACACCAAGAUGCCAAAUACUGUCACACCUGUGCUUAUACCAAAGGGGUUUGUGCAAUGUGUGGUAAGCAAGUACUUGACACUAAGUUUUACAAACAAAGUAAUGUAUAAUUCAAAGCAGAUGCUAUUUGGCAUGUUGAAUUAGAUGUAAUGGUUUAUGGACUGUUUCAAGCUUAAUUGAUCACUAUCAUUUACUUACAAUAUGAAAUGGAGGCUGUAAAGAUCACCAACUUUUAUGUAAUGUACUGGUAUGCUUGGUGGGUUUCAUUCUUACUGGGUAAUGAAAUAUGGUAG
rnacentral:misc_RNA from 1 species